rnacentral:rRNA from 1 species
ACUCCUACGGGAGGCAGCAGUGGGGAAUCUUAGACAAUGGGCGAAAGCCUGAUCUAGCCAUGCCGCGUGGACGACGAAGGCCUUAGGGUUGUAAAGUCCUUUCGCUGGGAAGAUAAUGACUGUACCCAGUAAAGAAGUCCCGGCUAACUCCGUGCCAGCAGCCGCGGUAAUACGGAGGGACUAGCGUUGUUCGGAAUUACUGGGGCGUAAAGCGCACGUAGGCGGAUCAGCAAGUUAGGGGUGAAAUCCCGGGGCUCAACCCCGGAACUGCCCUUAAAACUGUUGGUCUAGAGUUCGAGAGAGGUGAGUGGAAUUCCGAGUGUAGAGGUGAAAUUCGUAGAUAUUCGGAGGAACACCAGUGGCGAAGGCGGCUCACUGGCUCGAUACUGACGCUGAGGUGCGAAAAGUGUGGGGAGCAAACAGGAUUAGAUACCCUGGUAGGAUAGCG